rnacentral:rRNA from 1 species
GGCUCAGGAUGAACGCUGGCGGCGUGCCUAACACAUGCAAGUCGAACGAAGCACCUUGAUUUCCUCGGAUUGAUUGGUGACUGAGUGGCGGACGGGUGAGUAACGCGUGGGUAACCUGCCUCAUACAGGGGGAUAACAGUUAGAAAUGACUGCUAAUACCGCAUAAGCGCACAGUAUCGCAUGAUGCAGUGUGAAAAACUCCGGUGGUAUGAGAUGGACCCGCGUCUGAUUAGCUAGUUGGUAAGGUAACGGCUUACCAAGGCGACGAUCAGUAGCCGGCCUGAGAGGGUGAUCGGCCACAUUGGGACUGAGACACGGCCCAAACUCCUACGGGAGGCAGCAGUGGGGAAUAUUGCACAAUGGGGGAAACCCUGAUGCAGCAACGCCGCGUGAAGGAUGACGUAUUUCGGUAUGUAAACUUCUAUCAGCAAGGAAGAUGAUGACGGUACUUGACUAAGAAGCCCCGGCUAACUACGUG